AAACAAGAGAAGCCAUAGCAGCUGCAAUGAAUCCCACAUUGUCCACUUCGGGUCCCAUUGGUCAUAGUCGGGGUCGUCAGUCACUUUCAUCUUUUGGUGACAAUGAGGGUGAGGCUAGUGGCACUCCUGUUAGAUCAAACCCUAAUUUUUUUGUACCUCGCAAUGUUCCAGGUGCACAACCUUCACUUGAAGGUACAGGAUGGAAUAAAGAGAAGCAUGAACAAGCACGGAUAGCAGCUUCAAACUUUUGGUUUUACAAUAAUCUAUCUUUCAAUGCAGCAAACAAUGUGUAUUGGGAAAGUUUUGUUAAUGCAUGUACAGUGGUGGGUAAGGGGUUUAAGGCCCCAACAGGUCAUGACUUCAGUGGGCCAUUGCUAGAGAAAGCUGUGAAAAAUACAGAAGGUGUGGUUGAUGAUCAGAAAAGGUAUUGGAAGAGAAAAGGAUGCAGCAUUUUAUCUGAUGGAUGGACAGAUGGACGGAAUAGGACUCUUCUCAACUUCUUGGUGGCUUCAAAUGGUGCAAUGGUAUUCAUAAAGUCUGUUGAUGCCUCAAAUGAAAUAAAAAAUGCAGAGACUUUGUGUAAUCUGUUGGAUGGUGUGGUUCGGGAAGUUGGAGUUGAGAAUGUUGUCCAAAUUAUCACGGACAACGUAGCUGCAUAUGUAUCUGCAGGUAGAAUGCUUAUGCAGAGGCAUCCUUCGAUUACAUGGAGUCCUUGUGCUGCACAUUGCUUGGACUUGGUGCUAGAGGACAUUGGGAAGAUUGGAUGGGUGAAGAAGGUGGUUGAAGAUGCAAAAAGUGUCACCAAAUUCAUCUACAACCAUACUUGGGUGCUUGCUUUGAUGAGAAAAUACACAAAUGGCAAGGACCUUGUGCGACCUGGAGUGACACGAUUUGCUAGCCACUUCAUCACUUUGCAGAGCAUUCUUAGUGCCAUUCCUCAUCUUAAGCAGAUGUUUGUGUCAGAUGCUUGGUUGGGGUCUGCAUACUCCAAAAGCCUUGAAGCAGAGAAGAUUGUGACCAUUGUUUUUGAUGAAGGGUUCAAUAAAAGUGGAGAGGAGUUGACUACGGUAAGUAACAAACACAAAAGUAAAGUUUAUACAAUCUUGUCUAUUUGCUGAUUUUAUUUUUUAGGGGUUGAUUUUGUAUUAAUUUAAAAUUUGUUUUAAUUUUUUUAGGUGACAGAACCUUUGGUGAGGGUUCUUCGUAUGGUGGAUGGAGAGGGCAUGCCAAUGGGUUUCAUUUAUGAGGCCAUGGAUAGGGCCAAAGAGGCCAUUUCACAUUACUAUCGUGGAAAUGCAAGAAAAUGUGAAAUCUUUUGGCGCAUCAUUGAUCGUAGGUGGACAAACCAACUCCACCAACCGAUACAUGCCUUCGCCUACUUUUUGAACCCGAAAUUCUACUUCUCUGAUUCAUUUAGGGCUGAUGAGGAGGUCAUGGCAGGUGUUAUUACAUGCAUUGAUAAGAUGACACCUGAUCCUGAGUUGAGAGACAAGGUUCUUGAUGAGUUGGAGAUCUACAAAAGUGCAGAGGGGAGACUAUUCUCAUCACAACUAGCAAUUGAUAGGAGAGGAAAACAACAACCAGGUAAAACAUUUAGUAACUUAGUUCAAUAGUGCAAGAAAAAACCUACAAACUUGAUUGUUACAUUUUUUUCUCAAUUCUAAUAUUUCUAAAUGUUUUUUGUAGAUUUAUGGUGGGAGAAUUAUGGUGCCGGCACGCCUAAUCUUCAAAAGAUAGCUAUCCGUGUUUUGUCUCAGCCAUGCAGUGCUUCUGGGUGUGAACGAAAUUGGAGUGUCUUUGAAAGCAUUCACACAAAGAAGAGAAAUAGAUUGUCACAAAAGCGGCUCAAUGAUCUAGUAUUUGUUCGGUACAACCUUCGCCUUCGAGUUAGACAGGUGGAGGGUGUUUCACAUGAGGCCAUUGACUUGGAUGAAAUUGAUCCAUAUGGUGAUUGGACCAUGAAUGAACAAAAUGAUGGUGAUGAUGUCCUCCUUACCGAAGAAGAAAUUGCAGAAAUAGAGAGAGGAGCAGCACAAGAUGCAGAAGGAGCAAGAUUGGAUGAAGAUGAGGACGAAGAUGAGGAUGAUGAUGAGGACUAUGACUUUGAAGAAGAAUCAUCUCACCAUUUAGAUACCACAACACCCACUGCUACUACUUCUAGCUCAAGGCCUGAAAAAUUGAGCUAUAUUAGGAAAAAUACAAAGAGGAAGAUGUAGUCUUCUCUUUGGUUUGUUCAUUCACAUUGCUGUUUUUCACAUUUGCAGUUGGACUUGGACAUAUCAUUAUAUGUAAUUUUGUGAACAUUUAUAUACUUAUGCUGCUAUUAUAGUAUUAUA